GUUCUCUUCUCAGCAACUCUACCUCCUUACCUCUCUUUGACCUCCUUUAAGUCCACAGCCUGGCCCUUGACUUCACGGACCCGUCUUACCUUUCUUCACCUGGAAUGUCCUGCCCUUUCUUGGGGUCUCCUUUACCCCCUCCUCUCUGGUCCCAUCCCUUCUGCUGGCAAGCCCCAGCUUUCCUCCACGGCUCGGCCUGGUCAGCUCGAACCUCAUCUUGUUGGCUCGCCCUGGGCAGGAGGGGACCGUAUGGUGCAAAGUGGGGCCAGAACUACCCCUGGAGUAGACCCCUGCCUUGCCCCCACCGCCCCUCCCAAGCCCUGGUUGCGGCGCUUCCUGGGCGGAUGGUUUGGACUUGCUGCGGCAGCUGCGGUUCUGCUGUGUCAUGCAAGAAGGAGGCGGCGGCGGCGGCGGCCGGAGCUGGAGGGGGAGGAGGGGAGGAACCUGAUCCUCGGUAGCCAAGGGCUGGAGGCAAACACCGAGCUCCCCCUGAGCCGCCCGGGAGCAGGGAGGGCUCUGCUACCCCGAGGGGCCCUCCCCGCGGGGCAGAGGAGUGCAGAUAGCUCUAUUGCUGGAUCUGACGGUGCAUGCUGAGGCAGGAAGACUGCAACGGAGGCUAACCAGUGGCCAGCAGCGGCAGCCUCCAGGCUCCUCUAGAGUCCUCACCAGUCACUGAUGUGAAGGCCAGCUAUCCCCUCACUCGAGGAGGACAGCGGGGCAUGCCGACAAAUGAGGCUGAUUCCUGGGUGUGAGGGAACCGAAACAGAGUCAUGAACAGAGGAACAGCAGAUGGCUGUAAUCAUGAGGAAGUUGCCUCUAAGGUGCCUGCCUCUGCCUGACAGGAAUCCUAUCAAGGUGCUCUCAAGGAGUGUAUGGAAGUGACGAGAAUCCAUGCUCCCACUUCAUCUCCCCCCCCCCCACACACCGCUUGCAGGGAUGUCAAAGGCUUUCAUUUAAUUGUAUGAGCACCUCGGUGGGGCAUUCUUCAUAGCAAUCCUGCUCACCUCUCAGUUGCUGCACCCACACAUAGAGACUGGGAGGGGAGGAACAACCAACCAUUCCUGUUGUGAUCCCCACCCCACCCUGAUGCCUUCAGCCAGUCUUUAGAGUACAGGUUCACUGUCAACCAAACCUUCCCCUUCCUAAGGGCAUCUCAAGUGUCACUAAUGAAGUCUCAGGCCUGCUUCAUUAAUGCUAGCUGUUACUAGUUUUUCAAUCUACAACUUAACUUUAUUCUCAUUUAACAUGUAGUUGCAUGUAGCAUGUUUUGUGAGUGUAAUUUACUUGUUUAAUUUCACAUUUCAACACACACUGGCCCUUUAGAUGUGUUUUCCUAGUUUGGAAGUCGGGAUGACUAGAGUAAUUGGGAAUGAGACUUGGCCACAGAGCCUCAUCCCCAAGUCAUAUCUUAGGGACUAGAAGCUUUACUGGGAGUUAUUAAAAAAAAAAAGGAAGGAAAACUCAAAACACACUUAUUUUUCCUCUUUUCUUUAUUUCCUUGGACUACAAGUUUAUACCAAGAAACAUGACGAUUUAAUGGCUAUAAGAUGCAACUCAAACACCAAACUCUUGUAGAGUUUCUUGAGGGCUACUGGCCUUUGUUGCUGUUGUUCACUGUUUACUUUUUAAUUCAAAUUCUAAGUCAGAUGUUCAUACUGACUUUAAUAGCGACAUGGAAAAUAAAUUCCAGCCUUUGGUUUGUUUCAUUUUUUUUUCUUUCUGCCUAGUCAUUCUGACUUAAAAUCCCACAGCUGUUUCAGAUACAGCUCAGCUGAAAUGACAGUGGACCGUGGCAAGAAGCCAGAGAAAGGGAAGACUGUUGAGAAAGGUGUGUAGGGCCUGGAAUCAGAUGAUGUGAGUUCAGGCUCUAAGGACUUAACCAACAAAGCCCUGGGAAUCUGCAUUCCAUGAACAUUGACUGGACACCUACUGUGUUCAAGGGAUUGGAACUGGGUACUGUCAAAGCUACAAAGAUACAUAACAACAAGAACAACAUGUAGCUCUUCUAAUGACUUUUAGUGCAGGCCUCCACCUAUCAGCUUUGAGUCUGAACGCUCUCUUGCAUUAAGAAAAAAAAACAAUACAGAUAAAUGGAAAAAUGAAUUUAUGUACAGGUUUGGUCGUAACCAGAAAGGGAGGCAUUCUCAGUCUGCCUAAGGUCUUGCUCAUACCCAUGCCACAGUUUAUACAAAAUAUGAAACAAAGGCCAGAAUAUCUGCCUGUGGGGAGCAUCUUUGUCCCAGCAUCUUCACUUGAAGUGCAGAAUUUUUCUAGAGGACUCUCGUGUUUUGGUGUCAUGGAGAAGGAAGGAAAGCAUAUUCGAGCCGUGGCUUAGUAUAGCGCCAGAUAUGUUGGUGAUGAGGGAGUUAGGGGGACGGCAGUAAGUUAACAUUAGUCUACCCAGAGAGCUGGAGGUGGCUUUGAGAAGGAGCUACUUGGGAUGGUCCCAGAAGCAUAGAUAGCCUUUGUGGGUGGGACUGGGAUGGCAUGAAACAGAAGGUACAAAAAGGGGAGACAAUAUAAGUAAAGGCGUACGGUAGGAGAGUGGAGAGCUGGUUUGGGAAACUUGUUAGACCAGAAGGCAGCAUGCUUUUGGAUAAUAAUGGGUGGCAAGUUUUGACCAGUAGAUUAGAAUUGUGGUAAGGCUCAGAUUUCAUUCUGAAGAAUCUGGACCUUCUUGAGGUUGGUGAACAGGGAAACGGCGGAUGUAUGGAACAACCCUGGUUUUUGUCAACUUGGCAUAAGCUAGAGUCAUCUGGAAAGAGGGAACCUGAACUGAGAAAACUCCUCCAUCCGAUUGUCCUGUAGGCAAGAGGGUAGAAGUAUUUUCUUGAUCAGUGAUUGAUUUGGGAGAGCCCAGUCCCCUGUGGGUGUUACUAUCCCUAGGCUGGUAGUUCUGGAGUGUAUUAAAAAAAAACAAAAACAAAAAACAGCUGAACAAGCCAUGAAGAGCAAACCAGUGCACAUCGCUCCUCCAUGGUCUCUGUUUCAGGUUCCUGCUUCAAGGUUCCUACCUUGAGGUCCCAUUCUCCCUUCUCUUGGUGAUGAGCUGUGAGUUUAAAGCCAAAACAAACCCUUUCUGCUUCUAGUUGAUUUUGGUCAGAAUUUUAUCACUGCAAUAGAAAUAACUAAGACAUGCCCCAAGAGGGACCAGCCUGUAACAGGCUUCCUUUUGGGUCACCAACCAACUCCCAAAUCAUGACAAGGAGACUUGCUAUUAGUUUUCAAUGCUUAGCCUUAGCUUAGUGCUCUCUCUCUCUCUCUCUCUCUCUCUCUCUCUCUCUCUCUCUCUCUCUCUCGAUUUAUUUAUUUAUUAUAUAUACCAUGUUCUGUUCUGUCUGCAUGUAUCCCUACACAUCAGAUAGCAUAGAUAGUUGCUGGGAAUUGAACUCAGAACCUCUGGAAGAGCAGCCAGUGCUCCCAACCUCUGAGCCAUCUCUCCAGCCCCUUAGUUUAGCUCUUAUUUUAAUCUGUUUCUCUUUAUCUGUGUUUUGCCUCAGGGCUCUCUCUCUCUCUCUCUCUCUCUCUCUCUCUCUCUCUCUCUCUCUCUCUCUCUCUCUGUCUCUCUCCUGUCCUACUUUGACUGCUUCUCCUGGCUGGUGGCUGCCUCACUUCUGACCCUGAGCAUGUCCCUCUUUCUCCCUCGUUCUCUUCAUUCUCUUCUACUUAUUCUCUCUGCCCACCAGUCCCGCCUAUUCUCCGGCCUACGUAUUGGCCAUUCAGCUUUUUAUUAGACCAAUCAGGGCUUUAAGCACAUAAGGCGAAACAAUUGCAACACACCUUUACAUAAUUAUACACAUACUUACAUCCUUAAACAAAUGUAUCAUAAACAAAUGUAAUAUACCUUUACAUAGUGAAAGUAAUUUCUACAACACUAACCUGUGGAGGGCAAUGGCUUGGCAGUCCCAAGUGCUCUCGUUGGGAGGGAAAAACUAAGGGAUUUGGCUCAGGAAAUUGUUGAAAUAGAGUUGCAGGAAUGACAGAAAAAAAGUCUGAAAGAAAAAGUUGGAGGAAGCACUGGCAGGGUGCUGACAGCCAUUGGUUUGAGACUGUAGAAGGUUCUGAACAUCAGUGAGUCAGAGGACAGAGAUGCUGAGAAUGUAGGAGGCUUGCCAGGGAAGAUGCUGAGUUUGGUUUGAACAUGGUUAGUCUGUUCUGAAUAUGCUGGAUAACAGAACCAUAUAAAACAUGAGCCAGUUCUGACUGCCCUGAUCAAGGCUCCUACAGGAGCUCAUCAGUGCCUUCUCAUCUUGCUCAGCUCAGAGCAAUCUUUACAGUGUUUCAUCAAGGCUUCCCUGUUCUAGCCGCCCUUUUCCUCCAUCCUCACAGGGGCUGUGGUGACCCUGGUCCUACAUCGUGUAUGAGAACUUUCUUUAGUUCUCAGUACCUUACUCUUUCCUUCCCUCAGCUCUCUUUCAAGAGCUAUUAUUAUUAUUAUUAUUAUUAUUAUUAUUACUAUUAUUAUUAAUUAUUAUUAUUUUAUGUGGUAGUUUAAAUGUAAUUGGCCCCCAUAAGCUAACUGGGAGUGGCACUAUUUAGGAGAUGUGGCUUGUUGGAGUAGAUGUGGCUUUCUUGGAUGAAGUCUGUCACAGUGGGAGUGACCUUUGAGUUCUCAUAUAUGCUCAAGCCAUGCCCAGUUUCUUAGACUACUUCCUGUUGCCUGUGGGAUCAAGAUAUAUCUCCUUCUCUACUCUCAGCUCCUUCUCCAGCACCAUGUCGGGCCAUGAUGAUACUGGACUAAACCUCUGAAACUGAUGUGGCUCUCAGCUCCUGCUCUAAUGCUGUGCCUGCCUGCCGCUGUGUUCUCCGCUAUGAUAUGAUUUCAUGGACUAAACUAACCGUCUGAAACUGAAUGCUCAAGUCCCAGCAGAUGAGCUGAUAAGAAGCAAAUGAACUCAUCUCUUACCAUGUGGAAGGCCCAUGUUCCCUAUAGAGAAUUGCAGAGUGAAACCCGUUACUGGACUCGUCAACAAACUAAAAAACAAAAACAGAAAUGCUGUCAGAGACAGUAGGGAACAGCUACUUAUUCCUAAUCCUUAAUGUUAAUUUCACUAAAUCUUUGUGUUACAAAAAGACAAACAUGAUAUGUACUCACUCAUAUGUGGAUUUUAGACAUAGAGUAAAGAAUUACCAGCCUGCAAUCCACACUGCCAGAGAAGCUAGUAAACAAGGAGGACCCUAAGAGAGACAUACAUGGUCCCCUGGAGAAGGGAAAGGGUCAAGAUCCCCUGGGCAAAUUGAGAGCUCGGGAAGAGGGGGAGGGAGCUGGGAGAAUGAGAAGGGAAGAAGAGGAGGGAUGCAGAGGACAUGAGGGAGCAGGAAGGUUGAGUCUGGGGAAGAAUAGACGAUAACAAGAAAGGAGAUACCAUAAUAGAGGGAGACAGAGAAAUCAGGCACUAGGGAAAUGUCUGGAGAUCUACAAAGAUGACACCAGCUAACAAUCUAAGCAACAGAGGAGAGGCUACCUUAAAUGCCCUCCCCUGAUAAUGAGAUUGAUGACUGACUUAUAUGCCACCCGAUAGCCCACAUCCAGCAGCUGGUGGAAGUAGAAGCCGACACCCACAACUAAUCACUGAACUGAACUGGAAUCCAGAUGCAGAGAAGGACGAGUGAAGAGCAAAGGGGUUCUGAAACCCACAGAAACAACUGACCUGAACAUCAGGGAGCUCUUGCUCCCCAGACUGAUAGCUGGGAUACCAGCAUGGGACUGUUCCAGACCCCAGGAACUUGGGUUUCAGUGAGGAAACCUCGGAAAUCUACGGGACCUCCUGUAGUGGAUCAGUACUUAUCCCUAGCAUAGGUGUGGACUUUGGGAGCCCAAUCCACAUAGAGGAAUACUCCCUGAGCUAAGACACACGGGGGUGGGCCUAGGCCCUAUCCCAAAAGAUAUGAUAGACUCUGAUGACACCCUAUGGAAGGCCUCACCAUCCGGGGGAGGAGAAAGGAUGUGUGUUAGGUAGGGUUUUAGUUGUGUGUGUGUGGGG
rnacentral:lncRNA from 1 species